CUGCCGGCGACCGGCGCACGGGUGAGUAACACGUAUGGAACCUGCCCGCAGCAGGGGGAUAAGCGGAAGAAAUUCCGUCUAAUACCGCGUAACAACGUUGGGAGGCAUCUCCCGAUGUUUAAAGAUUUAUCGGCUGCGGAUGGCCAUGCGGCGCAUUAGCUAGUCGGCGGGGUAACGGCCCACCGAGGCGACGAUGCGUAGGGGUUCUGAGAGGAAGGUCCCCCACACUGGUACUGAAACACGGACCAGACUCCUACGGAAGGCAGCAG
rnacentral:rRNA from 1 species